rnacentral:rRNA from 1 species
UACGAAGGGGGCUAGCGUUGCUCGGAAUCACUGGGCGUAAAGCGCCCGUAGGCGGGUCGUUAAGUCAGGGGUGAAAUCCUGGAGCUCAACUCCAGAACUGCCCUUGAUACUGGCGAGCUUGAGUCCGGGAGAGGUGAGUGGAACUCCGAGUGUAGAGGUGAAAUUCGUAGAUAUUCGGAAGAACACCAGUGGCGAAGGCGGCUCACUGGCCCGGUACUGACGCUGAGGUGCGAAAGCGUGGGGAGCAAACAGG